UCUUCAACCCGUAUCAGUGUCUUCUUUUUUUUUCUUGAUUUAUCCUUUUUUUUCUUUGUUCUUUAAGUUUCCAUUUAUUCCAACGCAAAAACCCUUCGUCUUUUGUGGUUACACUCCUUUCAUCUUCUUCAUCUCUUGAUCAAAAAAUUCUGGAUUAACAUGGUCGAUGAUGAAAGCAGAUCAGGAGGAACACUCUGAACGGGAAACCACAUAAUACAUGUUCUUUUGCUUGAUGUCUUUGGUAACUUCAGAGAUUUCAAACAAAUACAGUAGAGUGGUAUUUAUGGUUUGCUUUUGCUUCAUGUUUUUAGCCGGCGUAUGGCAUACUUGCCGUGGAAACAACAGUCGAGGGUAUACAAGAAGGAUCAAAUUCUAAGCAAACGAAGACAAUUUGCUUCAUGGACAAUGAUAAAAAAUGAUCAUACUUUAUUUUAGAUACUUCAAAGUCUCAUUAAUAGGUCCCAUUUUAGACGAUAUCAACCAUGUGGAUGCUUUUCAUUUGCUUAUGAAUUUACUAUAGUUAUUUUCACUUAACCAAGUAUUGUGUUGUAAGUUGUAAUAGUCUUUUUAUAGUAUCGUAGUUAUAUUGUAUAAUUUUAGAAUGGAAGCAUGUGGGGGGUCUCUGUGUAAUUAAAUUGGUUGUUGCAGUUUACUUGUACUAGUUACUUACAACUGAUGCUCAUCUGUAUAAUAUUGUUUCAGCUUGUGAUUGUCUC